UCUCAUCCCCUUCCCAAAAAUUUCGCUCCAUCUGGCGAUGCACCCGCCGCUGCCCCCGUGCUUCGUUUCUCUCCUCUCCUUCAAGCGGAUCGGCUGAUGAGGCGCCGAGGUGGCGGAGCCGUGGAGGCGAGGUCGCAUGGGGAACAAGAUGUCGUUGAUAAAGGCGGCGCUGGCCUUCUUCCCGUUGGAGCCGGCGUCGUACGAGAUGGCAGCGGCCGAGGGGGUGAAGGUGGUGGAAUUUGAGGAGCAGCAAGCCAGGAGGUCUGACCCUCCCCUCAGCGACGGCUGGGUCAGGGUGGGGGCAGAAGCCCGUGGCGAGUUGGGCACCUGUAGGCGGAAGCAGCAGGGUUGGUGGAGGGGCGGAUGCGGACGGGCGGCAAUUGAGGGAGGAUGGCCGGCCGGAGCGAUAGGAGCAGUUCGGGAAUCCCAUCGCAUGAGGCUGCCCUGGUUUGUUUUUUUUUCGUUUGUUCCUGUCAUCCUCGCCCCUUGCACCGGAGAGACGAACGAGGAGGUCGAAUAGUGCGUAGCGUCAUCUCUAUCGUCCUUAUCCAAUUACAAGCUCCUCUACCAGGUUGAGUUUGCUGACCGCCAUGGGUCAUGAGUGUGGCCACGAUGAAUCACAUGAGCAAGUUCAACUUCUCCAUGACUACAUCCAUCAGUUUUCCGGCUACUUUGCAUUCUUCAGAUAUGCAGUUUUGUUUUAUAUCUGCACAUCUCAUCUUGGCAUGAGUGUUUCCUAAAAAAAAUCACUGCUGCUGCCUUAUCUUCAGUAUAUGGAUUUCUGCAGGUUUCAUUGGCCGAUGGCUUUUUGGGAUAUGUAUUGCUUGGUCGCAUGCUCAUCAAUUGUUGUCAAAGUGACAACCCUCAACUGGAUUUCUUAUCUUUGUCGUAUGUCAACAAAUUAAAUGAUGCAGAUGUAGAUAUAUAAAAGGUACUAGCAAAUUGACAUGUUGACAUGUGUCUCUUUCUUACUUCCACAUUGAUAAAUCAUGCCAACAGAACUAAAAUUUCGACUGUCCCUCUCGUUCAAUGCAACAAUUUGAGUUCUAGCAUACUAGAUUGACACCCAUUCAUCAUGCCAUCAAGUUCCUAAGGCAUUGUUCAAUAUUCAGUAAUAUUAAAAAUUGAUCUUAUAUUAUUUGUAUCUCCUCGGAGAUAAUCAUACCGUUUCAGUUUGAUGUUUAUUCGGUAAGCGAAGGUAUAUAUCUGUUCACCCUUCUAAGGUGUAGAAGGAGAUCAUAAUUUCGAAUUGUCCAGGAGUGUUUGGCAGAAAAUCUUCCAUUGCUUUGUUAUGGUACUGAACCUUGGUAUGUCUUGGUUCUUCUUUAGGAUUCACCUAUAUGAACGUGGUGAACAUCAUUGUUGAGAAGAAGACACAUUUAAGCUAUCAAUUCUAGAUCUCUAUUUUUUAGGCUAUGCAGCUGAUACUUUUCUUACUUUGCUAGCUUUACUAUUUGUAUCUCCAUGUUCAGGGCUGUGAUGUAUAUUCUUUCUUUUUCCAAUACACAUGAGUGAGCAUAUUUAAGUACAGUGAUGCUGAAUGGGAGACAUUUUUUCUUUCAUUCUGUUUGCAUGUUAUGUACUAUUUUUUCCCAAUGAAAUAUGUCAUCUUUUCUUCCUUAUAUUUGGCUUCAAACUGGUGCUGAACAGACCUGUGUCAUAACCUCAUAUGUGAUUAACUAACAUAUCCUUGGAUGUCUUAGUAAGCUCAAGGACUGUGGGAGCUGAACUAAUGAUUUUUACAGUGUCACAAUGAAGGUUUCGCUAAAGGAACAUGUCCGCGGUCAUCCACCUAGCAUUUGAUCAAGCGAAUGAAGCUGUGAGACUCAGUAUGCCAAUGUUGAAGUGACCAAACACCUGACUGUAAAAUGGGGCAUGUACAUCUAGCUCUUUAUUCUAUCACUUUGAUUUGUGGAAGCCACUAAGUUGCUGCUGUAGGGACACAUAAUCAGACGAAGGAGAGGAGGAAGAUCUCAAGAAGAUUAAUAUGUUUCCAUAUUAUUCCACAUAUACGAGUUUGUGCGAUGUUACUUUCAAUUACUACAAAUGCUCGCCUUUGCUGGUUUACGUCUGCUUCAUACUUUUUGUUCUAUUUCCGUGUAAAUAAUUACACUAACUGUUUGUAUUAAAAUAAAGGGAUAUUUGCAGGCUUCAAUGGAAGGGUGUUGUAAGAGAUCAGAAACUUUGUU